rnacentral:rRNA from 1 species
GACGUAGGAGGCGAGCGUUAUCCGGAUUCACUGGGCGUAAAGCGCAUGUAGGCGGUUGCCCAAGUCCGUUGUUAAAGCCCCUGGCUCAACUGGGGGAGGUCAAUGGAGACUGUGCGACUUGAGGGCAAUAGAGGCACGUGGAACUCCCGGUGUAGCGGUGGAAUGCGUAGAGAUCGGGAAGAACACCAGUGGCGAAGGCGACGUGCUGGGUUGCACCUGACGCUGAGGUGCGAGAGCGUGGGGAGCGAACCGG